AGGAACUUAGGAUAACCAUAGACCAAGAGCCUUCAAAGCUCUAAGCAGGGGUGAAAAUCCCCUAGUUCCUG
rnacentral:tRNA from 1 species